rnacentral:rRNA from 1 species
UAUGGAUGACGGUACCGGGAAUAAGAAGCACCGGGCUAACUACGUGCCAGCAGCCGCGGUAAUACGUAGGGUGCGAGCGUUAAUCGGAAAUUACUGGGCGUAAAGCGUGCGCAGGCGGUUUUGUAAGACAGGCGUGAAAUCCCCGGGCUCAACCUGGGAACUGCGUUUGUGACUGCAAGGCUAGAGUAUGGCAGAGGGGGGGUGGAAUUCCACGUGUAGCAGUGAAAUGCGUAGAGAUGUGGAGGAACACCGAUGGCGAAGGCAGCCCCCUGGGCCAAUACUGACGCUCAUGCACGAAAGCGUGGGUAGCAAACAGGAUUAGAUACCCUGGUAGUCCACGCCCUAAACGAUGUCAACUAGGUGUUGGGUGGGUAAAACCAUUUAGUACCGGAGCUAACGCGUGAAGUUGACCGCCUGGGGAGUACGGCCGCAAGGUUAAAACUCAAAGGAAUUGACGGGGACCCGCACAAGCGGUGGAUGAUGUGGAUUAAUUCGAUGCAACGCGAAAAACCUUACCUACCCUUGACAUGUCCAGAAGCCCGAAGAGAUUUGGGUGUGCCCGAAAGGGAGCUGGAACACAGGUGCUGCAUGGCUGUCGUCAGCUCGUGUCGUGAGAUGUUGGGUUAAGUCCCGCAACGAGCGCAACCCUUGUCGUUAAUUGCCAUCAUUUAGUUGGGCACUUUAACGAGACUGCCGGUGACAAACCGGAGGAAGGUGGGGAUGACGUCAAGUCCUCAUGGCCCUUAUGGGUAGGGCUUCACACGUCAUACAAUGGUCGGUACAGAGGGUUGCCAAGCCGCGAGGUGGAGCCAAUCCCAGAAAGCCGAUCGUAGUCCGGAUCGUAGGCUGCAACUCGCCUGCGUGAAGUCGGAAUCGCUAGUAAUCGCGGAUCAGCAUGUCGCGGUGAAUACGUUCCCGGGUCUUGUACACACCGCCCGUCACACCAUGGGAGCGGGUUCCGCCAGAAGUAGGUAGCCUAACCGCAAGGGGGGCGCUUACCACGGCGGGGUUCGUGACUGGGGUGAAGUCGUAACAAGGUAGCC